CAGAAGGUCAAGGGAGAGGAUUCUCCACCUCUGCUCCAGUCUCACGAGACCCCCACCUGCAGUGCUGUGUUCAGGUCUAGGGACCCCCACAUCAGAAGGACAC